rnacentral:rRNA from 1 species
UUUUUGAAAAGAAAAAUGAACAAGGUUU